AGCGAACGCUGGCGGCAGGCCUAAUACAUGCAAGUCGAGCGGGUCCUUCGGGAUUAGCGGCGGACGGGUGAGUAACGCGUGGAACGUGCCCUUUGGUACGGAACAACUGAGGGAAACUUCAGCUAAUACCGUAUGUGCCCCUUCGGGGGAAAGAUUUAUCGCCAUUGGAGCGGCCCGCGUUGGAUUAGGUAGUUGGUGAGGUAAAGGCUCACCAAGCCUACGAUCCAUAGCUGGUCUGAGAGGAUGACCAGCCACACUGGGACUGAGACACGGCCCAGACUCCUACGGAGGCAGCAGUAGGGAAUCUUGCGCAAUGGGCGAAAGCCUGACGCAGCCAUGCCGCGUGAAUGAUGAAGGUCUUAGGAUUGUAAAAUUACUUUCACCGGGACGAUAAUGACGGUACCC
rnacentral:rRNA from 1 species